CGGAUCACCCACUUCGAGCUCGCCGACAUCGCUCACCCCACACCGGCUGAGCCUCCCAUCUUCACCACAGAUUGCCGUUGAAGUUGCUUCGCCGUUGGGUGCUGUUGUCACAGGAGAAAGGAUCGAUGCAAAAGGGAGCCUAGGGCUUACUCUCUUCCUCACUCACGGACCCGAGCGACGCCAACAUCUUCCUAUCCCUGUCGCCACCUCGUGCCCUAUUUUGGUCUUCACUGUCGUGCCCUAGCUCUGGUCGUUGCAGCCACCAGCAACCACUUCAGUUUUGGCCACAGCUCCGGCAGCAAGAGUCCCUCCAGCCACAAUUUCGGCAAAUCGCGAGCCAACAGUAGAGUGCGUUGGAAUUAGGACUCUGUUGAGACAGCAUCACUACGUGGGAUUUGUUCUGAUACGAUCUUCAUUUUUUAGGCGGGUGCCUUUGACUUAUCUCUUUUUAUAUUGUCAUUAUGAUAUGCGUAGUAAUUUAUAGCUCGUAGUAAUGGUUG